CUCAAAAUAGGAAAGGCCACCGACUUCUGAACAGGAAAUGUGUAACAGACAUCACAACAAGAGCACAAGAAACAUAGGAGCUCUCCAUAUGAGUUGUGAUUGAAAUAUGAAGUAGAAAUAGAUGGUGCACUACCCAGGUUCUCUACACAGGUAUAGUUUCUAAUUUCUGAAUAGAUCAUUUGUUUAUAUCCCACAAUUAUAACAGGAGGGCUUCAAACAAUUAAAUAUGUUGUCGUUGAUUUCACUUGAUGCACCGAAAAUGCACCAAAUAAAAGAGUAGGUUUUCUGUUAAAGUUCUCCACACCGAUUCUCUCUAUCACAGGAGAGCCCACCGCAACAGAGAUGUAGGAACUCACAACACAUAAUCUCUGACAACAUCAAACAUGUUUACUAUGAUAGCAAUUAAAGUCAAACAUGAAAGGAAGAAAAAGAACUGGGUUACAUAAACUUGCAAUCUUUAUUGAAGAAAUAUUACUCUAAAACUUCAAUACACUUAACUUUAAUUACAGGAGAAAUCAAUCAUCGGUUUUCUACUAAGCAAACAUAUUAGUAUUAAACUAGGAUUCUAUAAGAAAGAUAAUUUAAACUUUCCAAUUAAAAACAUUCCUUAUUUCUCGUGGAUUUCUGGAACUUGGACAACACUCCAAGGAAAUAUGAUCUGGAUCAGAACACGCCAAUUUGUCUAGUCUCAGAUAUUCACCAAUUUUCAGCGGAGGAAAAUAAGGAGAGAUGGAUGUUAUUUGUCAGGUUUUAAAAAGUUAAGCUUUUGAUUUUUUCUAAACUUCUUCAUUUCUUACUUACCAAACAAACCAUAAAAUACUACCAAUAAAAGUCAAAAUUAAAUUUCUUUUCUUCCAAUGAUCACGAUAACAAGUAGUUGUUGCCAAUAUCAUGUCUUCGAAAUUAAGAAUCAGCUCAGUUGAAAUACUAGACAAAUUUAAGGUCCAUAACCAUAUUUACGAAGUAAGAAAGCAGCCAAGAAAAAUGUGUUCAACAAGAUCUUCAUGUCAGUGGAAAAUAUGUCAUCCAGUUGAUGAUAUACCCACUAUUAACUAAAUUAGAAGCAAGUGGUAUACAACUUAAGAGUAAUCUCAAUAAAAUAAUUCAUUUUAAUGUGCAACCAAUUAUUCCAAGGAAUUAAGGGUAGAGUAAACAUAUAAGAUUAUUUUUCGAUGAAAUAUUGAAGCGAUUUUACUAAAAAAUACUCGAGUCCAAACCCAUGAGUCAGGAAGGCUGGAAUUUUUUUUUUUGUUGUUGUCAGCCCCUCUGCUCAGAUUUUACUUCCUUUUCCUGCUCCAAGAAAUGCCCGACUAUUUGAUCAUUAUAUAAUAUACUUGUUAUCUACAAAACGUUUUAUGUAACAAAUUGACAACCAACUAUUUUGUAGGUUUUCUUUUAGUCGUUUUAGUGUUUUUAGAGUGGCGAUUGAAGUUUGGGGAUGGAAAGAAAAGACUUCGGGAAAGGCCUGGAAGCUAAACAAGCUAGCAACUAUUAAUACAAAAUACCAAAAUAAAAAGGCAAGAAUAUGCUUUGAAGCCUAAUACAUAAACAUAACAAAGAAAAACUAAAGAAAUUUACAUUUACGAGUUUUUUUAGAUGCAAAAUCAUCAAAUAUAAAAUCAAGUUCAAUAUUAUCCAACAAAUCCUUUUGAACGCAUAACAUUGCAUAACCAUUAAUUUAAUAUUUCUUAUGACAUUGACGAUCUCAAAUAAGUUUUUAAUAAUUUAAUUUUGAAAAAUUUCUUUCUACUGAUGCUAUAGUAACAUGUAUGGUUAAUAAGAUUCUAUAUGCAAUACAAACAUUUGGAUAACAAUUUUUACCUUUGGCAAACUCUAAAAUUUCAAUCGAUAACACAACAAUAUUUGGCAAAGUAUUUUGUAAUACUUUAAGUUUCACAAAAUUAUUUAAAUCACAUCACAUAAGUUAUUAUGAGUAAAUUUAUUUACAAAAAUAGUACAACUUUUUUUUAAGUUCAAUAUCAUCCAAUGACUUUAACAUUUUUGAAUCAUAUAAAAAUCCAAAAAUGUUUUCAAAGUUUAUUAAUUGUUCAAAUUUACUCUCUAAUGACAAAUUGUCACAUCAAAAAUAUAUAUAAAUUACUAGAUUUUAAAUGAUUCUUCGGGUGAUAGUAAUUCAUCUUCACAAUUAAUUUCAUCAAAUUGUUUUUUCUAAUAGUUUGGCGUUUUUGGAGAAUAUAGGUUCAACAUCCAUAUCCGAUGCAAUGGCCUUAACAUUAUCUAUACUAAGGGCAUAACCAUCAUAUCUAUAAUUUUUAAAAAAUGUCAUCAUAUUUUUUAAUAGAUAUAUUGUGGAAUAAAUACAUAUACUUUUGGUUUGCACUUUUUUUUUACUAACUUUAUUUAUAACAAAUAAUAUCAUACCAUAUUACCAUACCAACUUUCCGCUUCACUUUUAAACUUUGCAUCGUCACAUGAGAAAAAUAAUUCUAUCAAGGCAUCCCUUAUAUGAGGAGUUUGAAACCUAAUUUCUUUGACACUUUUUAUUCGAGUCUCCCAAUGUCUAUUAGAUAAAGAUAUUACCAUUAAGUUAAAUAGUUUAUCAAGUAAUAUUGACCAUUUUUUGGUUGAACUUGAAAAUAAUACAAAAAUGCAUUGCAAAACUCCAAAAAAGAAAUGUUUUUAGCAAAAGAAUGAGCCAUAUUACUAACUGUGAGGUUAAGAUGAUGACAAUAAUAUGGUAAAAACAUUAUUUUUGGAUAAAUUUCAAGUAUCGUUUUUGAAUCCCUUUGUGUUUUACUUUCAUGUUAGAGUAAAUUAGCCAUUUUCGAUCUCUUGUCCCACUGUUACUUAACUUUCUAGUAUAAGAAGCAUUAUAAAAAUGUCUAGAUAGAUUAUAUUUAGGAUACACAAAAUUUGAUUCUUUUAUUGGACAUUUUUCAAUCAAAAUAUAUCUUAAGUUAUUAUCAAGAUUAUCUCAAUUACUAGUAUCAUAUAUAUCUGAAAGUGGAAUAAACUGGCCAUUGUUAUCAUUCAUGACAUUCUCAUUUUCAUUUUCAUUUGAAAUAUUAACAUUUUCAUAAGUGACAUUAAAAUCUUCAUUAUUAAUUUUUUCAUCAUCAAUAUCAACAUUUUUGUUUGAAACAUUUUCUUUUGAAACAUUUUCAUUUAUAACAUUAACUUGCUCAUUUAAAACAAGUUCAUGUGUAAGAUUAUCUUGUUCAUUUAUAUGUACAUCAACAUAAUUGAUUUUUUAAACUAAUACAUAGAUCCUUUUUGAGUUUCAUUAUCGUACUCAACUUUUUUUGUUUCGCUUUUCACUUCUAGGCAUAUAUUUUCUAAGAUGCAUUUUCAAUAGAUAUAAGUUAUAAGAGGAAACCAUCAAACAUAUAACAAACACCUAAUAGUUUAACAAAUAAAUAAAAGGAGAGUUCUUUUGUACCUAAUGUUGUCUUUUGCCUGUGAUGCUAAUGAUGUGAGCAUGUAAAUAACCUCUAUUCCUCAAAGCAAUUGCCAAUUGAAAAAGCCCGACAGUCACUAGUGAAAAUUCUGAAGUUAAAAAAAAUCGAUUAAAAAGAUUAACAUUCAAAAACAAAAAGUAAGCAAAUGAAUAAUAAAUUAUUUUAUAUUUUAUAAAAUAAAAAGUUAUACAUUUUAUGAAAGCAAAACUUAUACAUUAUACAAAAAAAAUUAUACUAAACGGANNNNNNNNNNNNNNNNNNNNACUUCCAAAACUCAUGAAAAAUUUGAACUUUUCAAAACAACCAAUUUACUAUUAAGAGUAGUUACAAAAACAGUAUUUCCAAAACAUUAAUUAUAAUGAAGUCCCCCAAUAUCAAAUUAGUUCAAAACCAAGAAUGUGUACGGUUACGCCUUUGCCUCGUCACAAACAUCUGAUGUACCUGAAACAAUAAACUAAAAUUGUAAGCACAAAGCUUAAUGAGUUCCCCAAAGUACCACAACAUACACAUAAUAACAAGUAUAAUAGUAAACAACAUGCAUACAGAGCCAUUAGCAUGACUGGAACUCCCCACCGGCCAACAGUCUAUUUAGUAUGCCAACAGAGCCUUCAGUCUGACUAAAACACCCCACCACCCUCCAAUCUAUCUUCAUGCACACAAACCUAUCAGCAUGACUAGUACACCUCACUAGGCAUUCAGCCCAUCUAGACCAUUCUCCAGUCCUUUGGCUUGACUGGUACGCCCCACUAGCCUUCAGUCUACCCAGGUCUCCCUGGAUAUGUUGGCCUUCAGCACUAAGCAGUAACGCCUCAGCCCAACCACACAUAAACCAUGUUGACAUAUACAUAACAGAUAAGCAUACAUAUAACAUACAAAUACAAAUAUUAUCAGGAUUGUUGACUGGCAGCACAAAGCGGUACAAUCUCAACCCAACCACACUAAAUCAACACAUGCAACCGGUAAAUGUAUAGCAAGAACAUAUAAAAGGUAGAUCUAAUAGGUCACUACAGCACACCAUAUUACGAUAAACCAGAAUAACAAUCCAAUGGGCAGGACUUUGUGCCUUCGACCCAUAAUUACAGUGAGGAAAACUCACCUGAAGCAGCAAACACAAAAUAAACCAUUAGAGUGGCUAAGAUGUAUUCCCGAAUCUCUGAACACCUACCAUCAUAUUAAUAAUUCUUAAUCAGCUAUGUUUACAAAUAUUACUUAUUACUAUUUGUAUCAUACUUUUUAUCACUAUAUUAUCGUACCAUGAAUUAUUAAGUUCCAAGGUUAUUCAUGAUAAAGUGUUGUAUUGAGCUGUCGUUACAAUAUUAACCCUACAUCUGAUAAAUUUGAACCUUAAAAAUCCAUAAAAUUUUAGUGAAAGCUAUAACUCUUAAUAAAUUACUUACCUUUUAAUUUAUUUGACAGAGCUAUGUUCAUAACAAUAUUUUUCAUCCAUUAGAGAGAAUGAACAACCUUUGUUUAAGUAUUUUUUUUGUUCCAAGUACUAGUUAAUACGGUCUUAUCUUGUAUUUGAUUCUUGGGAAAAUUGCAUAUAUGCCCUUCUUAAACCUCAAAAUAUCAUAUUUGCCCAGCUUAAUUUCUCAAUAUCAUAUUUACCCUUUAUAAACCUUCAAAAUAUCAUAUUUUCCCAAAUCUUUUUUAUAAUGUUUUUAAUAAUUCAUAAUCAUUUUUUAUACCUUAGAAUCAUUAUAAUAAUUAAAAUUUUUAACCAUUAUCCUUACGUCUAUGAUAAUGGAAUGUGAACUUCUAAAUUAUUGGAAUGUCGUCCUCUUGACAAACAAAAAGAUUCAUCUUCAACCCUCUCCACGUAAUGUAUAUUUAGAUUGUUUAGUUUUUAUUGUUGUUGAUUAUUAUCAUGUUGUAGAUGAAUGAUAUUUUAGAUAUUACCAUUGACAUUUUGAUGUUUAAAAAGUACAUAUCUGAUAUUUUGAUAUUUAAGAAGGGCGUAUAUGAUAUUUUGAUGUUUAAUAAGAAUAUAUAUGAUAUUUUGAAAUUUUAAGAAUAGUAAAUAUGAGAUUUAGAAAUUUUAUGAAGGGUAAAUCUUAGAUUUAGAAAUUAAGUUGGGUAAAUAUGAUAUUUUGAUGUUUAAGAAGGGCAUAUAUGAAAUUCUCCCUAGAUUCUUCUUUAGUUGAAACACAAUAUUACUUAUCCCAAAACAUUGAUUGAAUCAAUAAGAUUUUAGCCCAAAUAGUUAAAAGCUCAAGUACCUGAAUUUACUCAGUAAUCAGCCCAAUAGCCACCAUCUAACCCAAUUGGAGUACACUAUUAGGACAAAAGUGGAAGAAUACCUUGUGCAGCACCAAAACUUCACGUAUCAAUAAGAGGAUGAUUCCCCUAACGUCACCGUCGAUGUCAAUCUCCAGCGGACCUUCCACCUUCGAAGAUUCUUAUUUAUUUUGCCCAGACUCUCUCACCGAUGGUGCCUUCAUCUUUGGUGAAGUGAACCAGACCUGCCCCAAGAUUAACGUCUUAUCCUCUCACUUUCUCUCUAUUUCUUUCCGCAUCUUCUUCUUCUACUACCCAGGAAUUACACACAUUCAUAUCUGCCAAAAAUCCCAGGACUAUAUAUAGGAUUCUGAACCAAAUUAUUCAUUAAAUAAAUGAAAAUGAGGUGUUACAAUUCUCCCCCGCUUAAACCGGAUUUCGUCCUCAAAAUCCGACUAGGAUUGAAUUCUUGAAAGUUGCAAUAACACAAUCAAUAUGCUUCCACCAAUCACUUCAUGAGAUCAACGUCUCCAAAUCGAAAACUCAAGAGACCUUUCGGAACCCACUGAUGCUAACAAACAAUUCAAUCACUUGGAAACAUUAAAUUUCCACAACUACCUCUUUCUCCCAACGGUGCGACCCUAAACCCACUGGGUACUAAGCCAUCAGUACUAUUUCCAUAUUGCUCAAAAUACCAAACUAUGCCCAAGACUCACGAGCACACAUACGGAUUUCAAAGACAUGACUGUCGGCCGAAAAAAUAGGUGAAAUCCCUAAUGGUUCUCAGCAAAUAGUGGGAACAUCCAACCUUUGGAGUAAGUAAUUCAUGGUUCCUCACCAUUCAUGCCAUCGCCCAAUCAUGGACAAGAAGGCUCCUAACCAGCACCUGGUGGGCCUAAAGAUACCAAACCUCAUUCCACUACCUUACAAGAACCCAAUCAACUCCUUUCUCAACGCUAACCGAGUGCAUCAACUCCAUAAUCUUUUACCACACAAAAUUCCUUUCACAGUACAAGCUGCCACCAAUGCAAAAUCCGGCGAAAACAUGGUCGCACAUGACCCAAGAAUGGAAUAAAAGGUCGUACUCUUGAUCCAAUUCAAAGACUAUAACCUAAAUAAUAACCAUUCAUAUACUUCGAACCAAGCGCUUCAUUGAUGUCACACCCUGAAACCGAUGGCGGAAACGUUCCGGGGCGGAGGACGUCAUGUAAGUAUCACAACCAAUGUACAUAGUAAGCAUAGUAAACACGAAACAUUACAUUACAUAUGAAUAAUUACAUUUGUUUAAAAGUAAAGUGAUACAUGUAUAUCUAUACAAAAGUUUGAAUAAAAGUAAGACUUGUCUUCUAAAACGCUCCGUCUUCUCCAAAAGAGUGCGGGUACCUGUCUAAUGGAGACCUGAGAAUACAAGCAAUUUGAAAAUCAGCAUAAAGCUGGUGACUUCAUAAGUGUUUUGUUUUCUGAAAAUGAACAUGUUUCCUUUAGUUUUCUGAAAAAGUGGUUAUCCAAGAAAAUCCCAUAUUUUCUUAUUAAGAUUGUUUAAUACGUAUAACUCUAGAUUAAAAACCAUGGGAAUACCAUCCCGUAUCACAUUAGGUAGUUUUAAUACAUAAAACUAUAGAUUCAAAACCAUGGGAAUACCAUCCCGUACUAGAUAGUUUUAAUACAUAAAACUAUAAAAAACCAUGGGAAUACCAUCCCGUAAUAGAUCAAAGAUUGAUAUAACAAUCCGUGAAUAAACUUAUAUUUUGAUAUUAAUACGUAUUGUGAGUCGGGUAACAAUGCUAAUAUGACCACGAGACCUCCUUGACGUUCUUCAGGCGUCGGACGAUAUCUAGAAUUUGUCACCCCAGGCAUGCCCGCCUAACUGUAGCUAGCAGUUUAGGUGUAGGAUUUUCAGUCCCGAAUAGAUUUAUUCACAAAUUCCACGCUCUCCCUCCAGGAGACUCUAGUUACACUUCCGGGGAGGAUUUACUGAUAACCGGAAGGGUUUAAUGAAGAUACAUCUCACAAGCUAGUAUUAAAUUAUUCACGGUAAACUCGGUAGUUAUCAAACAUCAUACAGUAAAACAGUUUAAUACAAUGAAAUUAUAAGGCAUGAUAUUCUAAAUUAGACAGAGAUAAACUGAAUCAGACAUAGCUUAUCUAUUAACCUUGCAUGAAAUCUGUGUCAGUAAAAUAAGAACUGAAGAUUCCAAAUUAUUCCCAUAAUAAUUUGAUUAGUUUGAUUGUUUCCCUUACUGUAAUUGAAAUCCACGUGACUAUAUUCGAUAAAACAUCCCUUAUGCUCCGCAUAAUACGUAAGGGGUAAAGAUAUCUAAAAGUUUGCCAGAUAUUUAUAGAAUUUCAUCAAUUUUAAGUUUCAAAAUCUUUUAUAGUUUGCUUGUAUCCCCCCUCCCCCCGUGAAAACAUUGAAAACACGGAAAAAGGCGUAAGGGUAUGAACUCACCAAUCGAGAAACGAGUCGGUUUGGAUGCUAAGUGUUAGUUCGGGGCUUGAUAACACGCGAGGUUCUUAUGUAAUAUGAAAUAGUACAUAAUUGUAUCUAAUUAGACUUUGAACCACUAAUUAGAUAUGAAUAUACACUCCAAGACGUGAAAACACUUCAAAUAAAGUGUUUGGAGUGACCCGGGUGGCAUCUACGGACGUAUAGGGGAUAGAUAUGGAGUUUGCUGUUCAAGAGUAAACACCCAAUGGAGUUUUCGGCCCAAUGACCAACUCCCCAUGAUUUUACGGCCGUAAACUCAUGGUGGGGGUGUUCUUGGUUGCUAAAUGGCCUUAUAACUCAUGAGGGGUGAUGCUAGGAUAAAAUCUAAGGCAUAGAAAUGGAUUAAACCACCAAAGGGAGCAUCAAAUGGAGUUUAUGGCUGUGAACUAGGAGUUUACGGCCGUAAGCUCCUAUAUACUCUUUCCUUUCAUGAUUUGGUGGCCCAAGAUUAAUCAUAUGUGAUUCUAAGUCAUUUUACAAGCCAUAGAAUGGAUUUAGGGCAUCAUUUGACUAAGGUAUAGGAGUAUACGACCUAGGAACCUAUCCUUGGGGGGUUUAUGUCUGUAAGAUCCCAUAGGAGUUGUUUUAAUCAAGUUUAAGGCCCCUAACUCGUUUGUGGUUGCUUCUAGACUUUAUUACAAGGCUUAUGAGGUGUUUAAGUGGCGUCUUAACACUUUAAAAUGAGUUUACUGCCCAUGAAUUGGUGUUUACAGUCCAAGCACGUUCUUGGGCCGUAAAAUCUCAUUUACCCCCUAAAUGAUGAGUUCAAGGUGUUCAAAGUCCAUUCCAAUAAGUCCUUAAGUCGAUUCCAAGCUCCAAAAGUGAUUUGGGAGGGUUUUUGGGCUCCAAAACCCAUCUUAUAUGUAUUCACGGCCCAUGUGUGUUCCAGGGCCGUAAGCACAUGUUUAUGGUCCUAAAUCAUAGAUUGAACACGGAUUUGAAAGCUGAAAAGGUUAUACAAUGAGUUAGGAUAGUUACCUUGAUGAUUUGGAGCUUAAAUUGGAUGAUUUUGGACUUAAGAUUGAAUUGUAGAGAGAGAGUAGUGAGAGAGAGUGCAAAAGCUUCAAAAUGAAGUCAUUUGAAGUUUAUAUAUGGUUCAAGUUUGGGACACUGUGGAAUUCUACCCGAUACUGACAUUAGACGAGGCUUUUGGUCGCACCCGAUUAAGUUGUCGUAACCCGAUAUGGUCAAAUCUAAAAAUCUUUCAAUUAUUAAAUUGGGGCGUUAUCAUGAGUUUCUAAUGUGUUUGGACACCCAUUAAGUCAUAAUAGAAGACUCAAAAUUAAUGAAUUAAUUUAAUAACGAAAUGGAAACAAUUCGAAAACGACAAAUUUUAUUGACGGAACGGGUUACAAUGACGGAACAAACUUCGGGUUGUCACAUUAUCCCCCAGUUAGAGGGAAUUUCAUCCCGAGAUUCAAGAUUAAGAUACAAAUCAUUGAUUUGGAAAUAGAUGCGGAUACUUCUGUUUCAUCGAGUCUUCGCGUUCCCAAAUGAACUUAGGUCCCCGCUUGGCAUUCCAGCAAACCUUCACUAUCGGGAUGCGGCUUUGCUUGAUACGUUUGUUCUCUCGAUCCAUGAUUUCGAUUGGUUCCUCCACAAAGUUUAGGUUUUCGUUGAUUUCGAUCUCGUCAAGGGGGAUCAUUAGGGUUUCAUCGAAUAGACACUUUUUAAGAUUUGAGACGUGGAAGACAGGAUGGAUGUUACUAAGUUCUUGAGGGAGUCGGAGUUUGUAGGCUAAAGGACCGAUCCUAGCGAGGAUCUCGAAAGGUCCUAUGUACCUCGGGUUAAGUUUUCCACACUUUCCAAAGCGUAUCAUUCCUUUCCAGGGCGAGACCUUUAACAAGACGCAGUCUCCAACCUGGAAUUCUAAUGGUUUCCAUCAUAUAUCAACGUAACUCUUCUGUCGGUCUCGUGAAGCUUUCAGUCGUUCUCGGAUCUGGAUGAUCUUCUCGGUGGUUUCGCAGAUGAUUUCAGGACCAGUGAGAGCACUGUCGGGGACUCGACUCUUGGCUAGCUGUGUGUCCCCUACCUCAGCCCAGCACAGAUGGGAUCUGCACUUACGACCGUAGAGGGCUUCGAACGGGGCAGCCUUGAUACUGGUGUGGUAGCUGUUUUUAUAUGAGAACUCUAUCAAAGGAAAAUGUGUGUCCCACGACUUUCCGAAAUCGAUGACACAUGCUCUCAACAUGUCUUCCAGGGUUUGGAUAGUUCUCUCACUCUGUCUGUCUGUCUGAGGAUGAUAGGUUGUGCUCAUGUCUAGUUUAGUUCCAAGAGCCUUUUGGAGUGACUGCGAAAAUUAGGAGGUAAACCUGCUAUCUCUAUCGGAGAUAAUGGAUACAGGUACACCAUGCAAUCUAACUAUCUCUUGGAUGUAGAUACGCGCGAGUCUUUCCAUCUUGAAUGACUUCUUAAUAGGAAGGAAGUGAGCGGACUUUGUCAAACGAUCGACAAUUACCCAAAUGGUAUCGUACCCACUCGGACAUUUGCGUAACUUGGUGAUGAAGUCCAUGGUAAUCAUCUCCCAUUUCCACUCAGGUAUCUCGGGCUGCUGGAGUAGACCCGAGGGCUUCUGAUACUCGACUUUUACCUUGGCAUAAGUCAGACACUUGCUCACGAAGCUUGCGAUUUCGGCUUUCAUGUUCAGCCACCAGUAUUGUUUCUUGAGAUCCAGGUACAUCUUGUCCGAACCUGGGUGAACAGAGUAUUUGGUCUUAUGAGCUUCGGUCAUGACGACGUCUCUGAAACCUCCGAACUUUGGGGUCCAGAUUCUAUCCAUGAAAUAGUAGACUCCGUCACCUCUUAUCUCAAGUUUCUUCUCCAUUCCUCUCAGUGUUUCGUUCAAUAGGCUUUCUGGCUUUAGGGCUUCCAAUUGGGCUUCUCAGAUCUGUGCAGAUAAGUGAGAAUGGAUGGUCAUCGUCAAUGUCUUCGACUUGCGAUUUGAACUCUCCUUUCGGCUCAGGGCAUCUGCUACCACAUUGGCCUUACCGGGAUGGUAGCGGAUUUCGCACUCAUAAUCACUGAGUAGUUCUACCCAUCGCCGCUGCCUCAUGUUUAAGUCUUUCUGAUUGAAGAUGUAUUGCAGGAUUUUAUGGUCAGUGAAGAUUGUACACUUAGUUCCAUAGAGAUAAUGUCUCCAAAUAUUCAAUGCGAAGACCUCUGCUCCUAACUCCAAGUCAUGAGUCGUAUAGUUGACUUCGUGUGCCUUUAGUUGUCUCGAGGCAUAAGCAAUAACUUUUCCUCUCUUUAUAAGCACACAUCCUAAUCCCUAAUUGGAUGCAUCGCAAUAAACAACAAAGUCUUCUGUCCCUUCGGGCAGGGACAGGAUAGGUGCGUUGCACAAGGCUUGAUUUAACGUUUGGAACGUAGUUUCUUGCUUUCCACUCCAACAAAAGGGUACACCUUUCUGUGUUAGAGUGGUUAGGGGUUUGGCGAUUCUGGAAAAAUUCUGGAUAACCCUGCGAUAGUAGCCAGCGAGACCCAAGAAUUGACGGAUUUCUGUGGGUGUCUUCAUUGCUGACCAAUUCUCUAUCACCUUGAUCUUGGACGGGUCCACAUGUAUACCCUCCUCGCUUACCACGUGACCAAGGAAAGCUACCUUCCGAAUCCAGAACUCGCACUUAGAGAACUUCGUAUACAACUUCUCUGUUCUGAGUGUUUCCAACAUUAACCUCAAGUGUUGUUUGUGAUCUUCUUCGCUUCGGGAAUAGACAAGUAUGUCGUCAAUGAACACAAUGACGAACUUGUCAAGAAAAGGACGACACACCCGGUUCAUCAGGUCCAUGAACACAGCCGGUGCGUUGGUUAGACCGAAGAGCAUCACUAUGAACUCGUAGUGACCAUAUCGAGUCCUGAAUGCUGUCUUGGAAACAUCAUUCUCGUGGACUCGAAGCUGAUGGUACCUUGAUCUGAGGUCUAUCUUCGAGAAGUAACUGGCUCCCUGAAGUUGAUUGAAGAGGUCGUCUAUUCGAGGAACAGGAUAGCGGUUUUUGACGGUCAAUUUAUUCAGCUCACGGUAGUCGAUACACAUCCGGAAGGAUCCAUCUUUCUUCUUUACAAACAAUACCGGAGCUCCCCAGGGUGAGGAACUCGAUGUGAUGAACCCUUUGUCGAGUAGCUCAUGACUGGAUAACUCCUGCAUUUCUGCUGGAGCUAAGCGAUACGGAGAUUUGGCUACAGGAUUGGCUCUAGGAAUUAAGUCGAUGCGAAACUCGACUUGACGUUCGGGAGGAAUUCCCAGAAGCUCUUUGGGAAAUACAUCGGGAAAGUUGUAGACUUCGGGGAUGCUUUCGAGGUUUUUAACUUCCUAGUUCUCGUUAAUUACAUGGGCUAGGAAUGCGUGACACUCCUUUCGCAGAAGCUUUUGAGCUUUGAUGCAAGAUAUGAUACGAAGAUUGGAACUAAGUUUAUUACCAUAGAUCAUGAGAGUCUGGCUAGAGGGGAGGUUGAGACAAAUGGCUUUUUCAUAACAUAGGAUAUCAGCAUGAUUGGGACUCAACCAAUCCAUGCCAAUAAUAACAUCAAAGCUCUUAAUGGAAACUGGCAUUAGAUCGAUGGGGAAGGAAUGAUCGUUUAGGGUAAGGGUACAGCCCAUGAAUAUGUCGCUAGUGCUUUCUUUCUCGCUGUUAGCCAUCUCGAAGAUAAAUGUUUCGGUUAAUGGUUAGGGAUUACUUUUAAGAAGACGUUUUAAUGAAUGGCUAACAAAACUACAUUCAGCACCAGAAUCGAAAAGGAUACUAGCAUAAGAGUUGUCGAGGAGGAACGUAAUCGAGACAAUGGUGGGAUCAGCGACUGCCUUUUCUCGUCCCAUAGCAAGGACGCUCCCAGUGUUACCCACUGUAGCUGCUUUGGGGCAGUUUCUCUUGAAAUGCCCUACAUCCCCACAUUCGUAGCAGGCCUGACUAACACCCACUCCGGAAGAUUGCUCUGUUGAUUGGGUUGCUUUCCUGUAGUUUCGAGCAAGGUGGCCCUUCUUGCCACAGCUGUUGCUGAGUUUUUCACGACAGGGCCCGGGAGUACGAUGAUGAUAGCUACACUUACUGCACCAUGGAAGAGUACCAGUAUAUCCAUUGGUAGGAGUCUAAGUUGUGGAUCCGACGGCAGAAACAGCAACAGGGGCAGUAGCAGCGUGGACUGCUACCGUUUGCUGUUUCUUAGAGAAUCCUUUUGAACUUUGGGCCUUCCGUUUGUUCCAGAAUUUCUUUUUACUACCACCACUACUUUUAACCGGCUCAGGAGUGGUGGUCUUCUCAUCGAGAUUGUCUUCGUGAUCAAUCAGGGUUUGCGCCAGACAUUUAGCGCUGUCAAACGUGUCUGGCUUUGCAGCCAAAACGUUCCCUUUGGUUGGCUGGGUCAGCCCCCAAAUAAACAUCUCAAUCUUUUUACUUUCCCGGGUAACCAUUCCUGGACAGAGAAGCGCUAGGUCUUCGAAUCUUGAGGUGUAAGCGGUGAUGUCGGAACCCUUCAUCUUUAGAUUCCAAAGUUCAUGCUCUAAUUUCUGCAACUUGCCCUGCGGGCAGUAUUCGGCAAGCAGAAAAUCCUUCAUGGCUUCCCAACCCAUAGCAUUGGCUACAGGUAGGGUUAGGGAUUUGACUCGGCCGUUCCACCAAGUCAAACUUCACCUUAUCUGAUUCAGAGCAUGCACAGAUCUCAAAAAUAGAUUGGAUUUUCUCGAACCAUCGGGUUAAGGAAAUGACACCUCCAGUGCCAUCGAAGAUGUGGGCUUCGCGUUCAUGAAGUCCUUAUAAGAACACUCCUUCUGGUGUCCCUGACUACCUUUUUGAUUUUGAGGUUGGGUACCACAUCCUGGACCACCGGAGACACCGGGGUUCAUUUGAGACAUGGCAGGUGCCACUANUGGCAGUAACAGCUGCCUGGAACAUCACAGGAUCAAAUUGAGGAGGAGGUGGUGGCGGAGGAGGAUUGUUGUUAUUCUUCGAGUUGGGUCUCUUUCUUGGAGGCAACUUGAUCUAUAAUAGCCAGGAAAGAGAGGAUCAUAAGUCCUCUUAAUUGAAUCAAGAGAUAUGGAACAAGAAAUAUCUCUUUAUGACAGAUAUAAAGUUCUAGUAAGCGAUAAAACAAGAAAGAGUUAUCAAAGCAGAUAAAUUAUCGCUAAGGAAGGAAGGAGUAGCAACACUCGGAAUAAUUUCUACAAAGUACUCGGUUCUGACUAAGAUACUCCCAUAGCACCUUACGUUUCGCUGAAUCGAUGAAUCAUUAUUUGGAUCUUAGGUAAGUUUUAGGCAUGCUGCACACCACAGUCACUCCCAAGCAAAUGUUGGCCAUGUCACGAAUGAAUAUAGUUGAUCAGGCUAAAUUGACCCUAGAAACGACUACAUAACUGCCCAGGUUUAACCACAGCACAUAACACCCAUUUACUUAUGUUUUGUUCAACUCGUAGUUACGGAUUCUGGCGGUUAGGUAUACUUGUAUACUUUUGAAAAUACUUAUAUUUUAACGUAUACUUUUAGUUCAGAGUACUUAGGCCCCUUAAUGUUUAUAGACGUAUACCAUGUAAGGUUUGUUAUACUAGUUCACUAUAAACAGGGUCUCUGAUACCAAUCUGUCACACCCCGAAACCGAUGGUCGAAACGUUCCGGGGUUGAGGACGUCAUGUAAAUAUCACAACCAAUGUACAUAGUAAGCAUAGUAAACACGUAACAUUACAUUACAUAUGAAUAAUUACAUUUGUUUAAAAGUAAAGUGAUACAUGUUUAUCUAUACAAAAGUUUGAAUAAAAGUAAGACGUGUCUUCUAAAACGCUCCGUCUUCUCCAAAAGAUUGCGGGUACCUGUCUAAUGCGAACCUGAGAAUACAAGCAGUUUGAAAAUCAGCAUAAAGCUGAUGAGUUCAUAAGUUUUUUGUUUUCUGAAAAUGAACAUGUUUCCUUUAGUUUUCUGAAAAAGUUGUUAUCCAAGAAAAUCCCAUAUUUUCUUAUUAAGACUGUUUAAUACAUAUAACUCUAGAUUGAAAACCAUGGGAAUACCAUCCCGUAUCACAGUACGUAGUUUUAAUACAUAAAACUAUAGAUUGAAAACCAUGGGAAUACCAUCCUGUACUAGAUAGUUUUAAUACAUAAAACUAUAAAAAACCAUGGGAAUACCAUCCCGUAAUAGAUCAAAGAUAGAUAUAACAAUCCGUGAAUAAACUUAUAUUUUGAUAUUAAUACGUAUUGUGAGUCGGGUAACAAUGCUAAUAUGACCACGAGACCUCCUUGACGUUCUUCAGGCGUCAGACGAUAUCUAGAAUUUGUCACCCCAGGCGUGCCCGCCUAACUGUAGCUAGCAGUUUAGGUGUAGGAUUUUCAGUCCCGAAUAGAUUUAUUCACAAAUUCCACGCUCUCCCUCCAGGAGACUCUGGUUACACUUCCGGGGAGGAUUUACUGAUAACCCAAAGGGUUUAAUGAAGAUACAUCUCACAAGCUAGUAUUAAAUUAUUCACGGUAAACUCGGUAGUUAUUGAAUAUCAUACAGUAAAACAGUUUAAUACAACGAAAUUAUCUGCCAUGAUAUUCUAAAUUAGACAGAGAUAAACUGAAUCAGACAUAGUUUAUCUAUUAACCUUGCAUGAAAUCUGUGUCCGUAAAACAAGAACUAAAGAUCCCAAAUUAUUCCCAUAAUAAUUUGAUUAGUUUGAUUGUUUCCCUUACUAUAAUUGAAAUCCACGUGACUAUAUUCGAUAAAGCAUCCCUUAUGCUCCGCAUAAUACAUAAGGGGUAAAGAUAUCUAAAAGUUUGCCAUAUAUUUAUAGAAUUUCAUCAGUUUUAAGUUUCAAAAUCUUUUAUAGUUUGCUUGUAUUCCCCCCAUGAAAACAUUGAAAACACAGAAAAAGGCGUAAGGGUAUGAACUCAACAGUCGAGAAACGAGUCGGUUUGGAUGUUAAGUGUCAGUUCAGGGCUUCAUAACGCGCGAGGUUCUUAUGUAAUAUGAAAUAGUACAUGAUUGUAUCUAAUUAGACUUUGAACCACUAAUUAGAUAUGAAUAUACACUCCAAGACGUGGAAACACUUCAAAUCAAGUGUUUGGAGUGACCCGGGUGGCAUCUACGGACGUAUAGGGGAUAGAUAUGGAGUUUGUUGUUCAAGAGUAAACACCCAAUGGAGUUUUCGGCCUAAUGACCAACUCUCCAUGAGUUUACGGCCGUAAACUCAUGGUGGGGGUGUUCUUGGUUGCUAAAUGGCCUUAUAACUCAUGAGGGGUGAUGCUAGGAUCAAAUCUAAGGCAUAGAAAUGGAUUAAACCACCAAAGGGAGCAUCAAAUGGAGUUUACGGCUGUGAACUAGGAGUUUACGGCCGUAAGCUCCUAUAUACUCUAUCCUUUCAUGAUUUGGUGGCCCUAGAUUGAUCAUAUGUGAUUCUAAGUCAUUUUACAAGCCAUAGAAUGGAUUUAGGGCAUCAUUUGACUAAGGUAUAGGAGUUUAUGGUCCAGGAACCUAUCCUUGGGGGGUUUACAGCCGUAAGCUCCUAUAGGAGUGGUUUUAAUCAAGUUUAAGGCCCCUAACUCAUUUGUGGCUGCUUCUAGACUUUAUUCCAAGGCUUAUGAGGUGUUUAAGUGGCAUCUUAACACUUUAAAAUGAGUUUACUGCCCAUGAAUUGGUGUUCACAGUCCAAGCAUGUUCUUGGGCCGUAAACUCUCAUUUACCCCCUAAAUGAUGAGUUCAAGGUGUUCAAAGUCCAUUCCAAUAAUUCCUUAAGUCGAUUCCAAGCACCAAAAGUGAUUUGGGAGGGUUUUUGGGCUCCAAAACCCAUCUUAUAUGUGUUCACGGCCCAUGAAUGUUCUAGGGCCGUAAACACAUGUUUAUGGUCCUAAAUCAUAGAUUAAACAUGGAUUUGAAAGCUGAAAAGGUUAUACAAUGAGUUAGGAUAGUUACCUUGAUGAUUUGGAGCUUAAAUUGGAUGAUUUUGGACUUAAUAUUGAAUUGUAGAUAGAGAGUAGUGAGAGAGAGUGCAAAAGCUUCAAAAUGAAGUCAUUUGAACUUUAUAUAUGGUUCAAGUUUGGGACAUGGUGGAAUUCUACCCGAUACUGACGUUAGACGAGGCUUAUGGUGGAAUCUAAAAAUCUUUCAAUUAUUAAAUUGGGGCGUUAUCAUGAGUUUCUAAUGUGUUUGGACACCCAUUAAGUCAUAAUAGAAGACUCAAAAUUAGAGACUUAAUUUAAUAACGAAACGGAAAUAAUUCGAAAACGACAAAUUUUAUUGACGGAACGGGUUACAAUGAUGGAACAAACUUCGGGUUGUCACAAUUGAUAUCUUGACCAGCCCAUAUACAUCUCUCUCGGCAAUAUAUAACAAAUUUACCCCAAUGCAUACCCUUAGGGAAUCCAUAACCUCAGCCAAAUAGUGCAGAAUACUACAUUUGUAACGAACAACUAAUCUUAAUCAUUAACAGAUGACAUCCACAUGAUCGAUCAAAGUAAGAUCCCAUACUUGAUUGAUGCUAAUCAGAUUCCACCAAUAUGCAACCAACUCGAGAAGGCUUUUAAAGUGGUUCUGAAUGAGACAAACCUCAAGCCUUCUAAGAACUAAAAUUCCACACAAUCAUUGAGGGUAAGCAUACCUAGAGACCAAAAGGAACAUAAAACAUACUAAAUUGAUGAUAAGUUAACAUAUCCAUAGAACUUCAACCACCACACUAAAAACCUUCAUGGAACCUUUGCUGAAAGCCAAACAAUGCGACCAAUAAUUGUGAACACAUGAUAUUAAAUCACCAAAACCCUUGUGGGGCUAAACGCACCAAAUUCUGAAACUGAUUCCUUGAUCCAUCUCUGCCCAAUCUAGACUACAAAUAUAAAUUCUUACACCCAACUGAAAAUUACCUCCUCCAUUUAUACUUGACCUGAGUGAUCCCAAUGGCUCCUUAUACAUCCAUUGGCAUCCCGAAAGGAACAAAUAGCUACAACGAGCUCCUUGACAAACCACAUUCUCCUAAGAGACAUCCCAUGAACCUCCUGACACAUACAUCUAAUCGCCAAUUACUAUAUUCCUUUGCCUUAACCAAAUCCUGUACCGAGAUCCCAAAACUUGCACCACAAAUUCCUAUGAUUCACCCUGUCCAAUACCACAAACUCAAAUAGAUCGAUGAUCCUCCAAGUAGAACACCUAGUUCUCCCCCACUUAGUGUUCAAACUACCACCCACUAAUUUUCAGCUAACCCAUAACUCAACCAGCUCAACCAAGUACAACCAUCCCUGACCCUGGAAAGAAUGACACAUGCAUGAUGUGUUCGAUUAGUGUAUGUACUUGACCCGAUGGUGUAUGGUCCUUUGGGGUUGCCUUCACCAAAGCAACUUGAUAGGAUGAAUUAUGGAGAGAAAGGAUUAAAUAUGAUUUAUUAAUAUAUAAUGAGAAUAAUAUAUUAAAGGAGAAAUCAUAUUGUUUAAUUAAUAUUAGUCAAGAAUUAAUUAGUAAUUAGUUUUUGUGACUAAAAGAGAUUAAUUAAACUUAAGAGACUGAAAUUGUAAUUAUAAGAUAAUUGCAAUUUGGGCCAUGGAUUGUCUUGAAUCAAGGGGUGGAUGAAUUCUAAUGGGAAACCCAUAAGGAAAUCGUCCAAGGGCUUGAUUAAAGGAGUCCAUGGGUUGCUUAGGGCUUAAGCAACCAAAUUAGGGUUUCCUUGUUAGAUAACCCUAAUAGCCUCACUAUAUAUAGAACCCUUAAGGCUCAAAAACGUGUGGGAACUUCUUUUCUAGGGUUAGAACACGUUUUGGGCAGCCUCCAUCCUUUCUCCUCUUCAUCCUCUUGCUUAUGGUGUUUGUGAACCAUUAGAGGAGUGACACUUGUGACUCUAAGCCUUCCAAAGUCAAUACAAGGAGAUUUGGGAUUGUUAUUGCUACAUAACAAUCAAGGUAAUAUCUUAAACCUAAUUAUAUGUUAAUAUCAAUUUCCAUAUGAUAGAAUUAGGGUUUAUAGUCUUGGAUAAAUAGCAUGUACAAUGGAGAAACCUAGAUCCAAGCAUUAGGGUUUGUAUGAGCACAUAGGAUGUCUUAUGACCAAAACCCAUCAGUGGUAUCAGAGCCUAGAUUGGUUUCUAUUGUAUUGAUGCUUGAUGUAACUAAAAAAUGUGUUUUGGACUCAUUGUUCGACCUGACUCGGCGAGUCACCCCUACUUGGCGUUCCAGAGGGUGACUCGGCGAGUCGGUGCGUCAGACAGAGGUAUAUCCGAGAUUUCUUGUUGUUUUUGCUUAUAGAUAGUUACCUUAUCAUGUUAGAUAAAUAUUAAUCCGAUUAUAUGAUAUAUUUGACUAUAAUUUUGAUCUAAUUGAAGAUAUUUAUCAACUAAUAAGAUAAUUGUUUCCUUAUGUGAUAAUUGAUUAAUUAUUUUGAGUAAAUUGAUAAAUUGUUUUGCAAGAAAUCUUUAAAUAAAUCAAAUAUGGAUAAUUAUGUGAUUAAUUGUUAAUUUAGAUUAUUUGUUAUUUGAUCCUAGUUGUUAUGAAAAGUUUCAUAUUUUGCCCUUUAGGUUUUAUAGUUUAAAUUUGAACCCAAAAGUUUUGUUGUUUUGAAAUUUAAAUAGUUGAAACCCUAAUGUUUUGAAAAAGGUUUCAAAACUUGCCCUCAAGUUUUGGAAUUUAAAUGUUGAUUAAAUGGUUUAAUUUUGAUGUAUAUUUAAAUUCUAAACCCUAAUGUGUUGAAAUGUUUCAAAACUUGCCCUCAAGUUUUGGAAUUUAAAAGUUGAUUAAAAGUUUAAUUAGGAAUGUUAAAUUCUAAAACUCUAGUAUAGUUUUGAAAAAGUUCAAAUCACACCCUUAUGGUUUUGUUAAUAAAUUAAGGUGUAUAAUUAAAAGAAGUUUAAUAAAUCCAUAAAAGUUUAGGUUCACAAUUUAAUUGAAUUAAAAGUAUAAUUGUUAAAUUAGACCACCUAGUAUUUUGAAAGUAUAAAAUACAUCCUAUACUAUAUAUAACAUUAAAAGUCUAAUAUUAUAUAUAUGUAUGAGUAAAAGUCAGUCUUACCGUUAGUAGGCCUCAUUCACGAAGCUGGUCUAUAAGGGGUGUUUAAGGAAAUUGCCUAUAAAAUGGCGAUUGAAUGGGUAUCCACUCUUACCCACCGCACUCUUGACUAGUGGAGGGUCGUUAGCCGAACGGGUAGGAUAGGACGAAACCUUCCAUUAUAAGUAUAAUGAAGUAUAAAAGUAACUAAAUGUUUUCAUAAAAUUCCCAAUCUUAGUUACUUAGGCAAAAGUGAAUUGAUGCAAUUCCAUGAAAUUACACUUUGUGCCCUUGCGAAGACGUUAGUGGAGCGUGUGUGGUUUACCGGCACACUAAAUGGUUCUAAGCAAAGGUAGCAAAGGGUGACUCAAUGUUUGUCAUAGUUCGGUGGAGCGUGUGUGGUUUACCGGCACAUCGAAUAGGUGACUGUAACAUGUGAGGGCACCAUGUAAGUUUGCAUGGUUAUUCACACCCGCUUUGUGAUCCUCGGCAUCCCAGUCACAAACAAGAGGGGCAUAUCGAGAUUUAAACAUGCCAUUGAAAGUUCAAUGAAUCUCAAAGGAUCUAGGAGUUUUCAUAGAUUUAAAACUUAAAUUUCUUUUUCGUUUUUCGUGGUGGAAAUUAGUGAAUCGUCAUUCACUUACCUUCAAAUAUUCUGCAAUUAGGGUUACGACAUCCCUCUCCCGAGUUGUAGAAUAUUGUGUUGGGUCCUAGCCUUAGUAUCUCAUUUGGGUGAUUUACUAAGGACUCAAUCAAUCAACUAACUUGAAUUCGUUUUCUCCCGUUUUGUAGAUGUCAAAGUUCGACAACUAUGGUCUUCCCAAAUCCCGUGGAACAAGCAUUCCACAUGAAGAUGAUAUUCCACGAUUCGAUCGAGGAACAAGAAAUCAU
rnacentral:lncRNA from 1 species